UACGAAGGGGCUAGCGUUGUUCGGAAUUACUGGGCGUAAAGCGCACGUAGGCGGACUCUUAAGUCGGUGGUGAAAUCCUGGAGCUCAACUCCAGAACUGCCUUCGAUACUGAGAGUCUCGAGUCCGAGAGAGGUGAGUGGAACUGCGAGUGUAGAGGUGAAAUUCGUAGAUAUUCGCAAGAACACCAGUGGCGAAGGCGGCUCACUGGCUCGGUACUGACGCUGAGGUGCGAAAGCGUGGGGAGCAAACAGGG
rnacentral:rRNA from 1 species